UAGACUCCCCUUGUGAACUCCCUUUACCCCUACCUUCACCCCUACCUUCACCUCCACAGACUCUUCCCUUGCAUAGUGCCAUAGUCCAUGAAACUCAUGAUCUUAAUCUCUUCUUCAGAACUUAACAGGUAAAUAAAGUUUACAUCAUCCAAAUACUGCCUACUCAAAUUAGACACUGUACAUGACUCUGGCAGUAAAUAAUUACCCAGUGUACCUAUAUAAUGUUUCACUCAAAACACUAACAUCAAAAUCCAUACUUAAAGGGAGACUACUCUCAGGUCAACAGACAGACAUGUCAGUUUAGGUGACAUUGUUUAAAUACUGCUUACUCAAAUUGAAUAAUGGUGAUAGUGUAAAGUACAGUAUAUAUAUAUAGAUGUACAGGAAGCCAGAUAUGUAAAUUGGGUAUAUACAAGCGCAUGGGAAAAAGGAGGUAUAAUUAAGUAUGUACAAACAGUGCAGAGAGAUCAAAGAGCAGAAUACAAUGAUAGGGUAUGUAUUUACAAACAGGGCAAGGGUGUGUUACCCCAUCAUAGUAUUCUGCUCUUUGAUCUCACUGCAUUGUUUGUACAUACUUAAUUAUACCUCCUUUUUCCCUUGAACUGCGUUUAAAUACAUCCAAUCCCCAUUUUUGUAAUGAUCUGAUUAUAAUGUGUGACUUACUUGUGAGGUACCACAGUGCCAGGAUAUCUUAGGUUGUAUGUUUCAUGCCUGGAUAUAUUUUUAUUUAUAAGUCUUAGUGGUGAAGCAGUGGUACAGU